GAAAAUCAUCCUUGUAUUUGGAGUGAUUGUGGUUGAAACAGUCAUUGUCCCUCAGAUUAUUUCAUUACCAUUUCCAGACUCAGUUAUCUGCCCAACAUUGUUUACUGGCACUGGAGUGUGGAUCCUUAGUGUGGGAAGUGCACGGACGUGACAUUUUAAGGCAACUCCAGAAAAAUGUUAUAAAUUGGAACAACAAAGAACAACACCUGGUGAAAACAAGAUUUCCCUGCCGUAAAUCAAUGUUUAAUUAACUAGUUAAAAGGAC